AUGGAAACUAGCCACUACUGAAUCCACCUCCCUUUUCAGAAAUGUACUAAAUGUUUUGCCAGCUGUUGGUUUGUAUUAACCUGUGCAGUAAACACAGUUUUAAUAUUAGCCAAAAGUAGCAGUGAGAGGACGAAGUCUAUUGCUUAGGUAAUUCCUUAAUUUGGUGACAAUCUGUUUACAUUUCAGCAGUUUGUAGCCACCAACCUCCAAAUAGGGCUUUGUUGUGUCAAAGCAUCACUGAGCGAGUUUAGGAAUUGCCACAAACAAUAAGAAGAAAGAAAACAGAAGAAGAAUUAUCUACAUUUUUGAUACGAAGCAACAAGGUACAAAGGUUUGUGACUUGUCCCUGAUAAUGCGGGAAGUUCAAGGGUCCACAGAGGAAAGACCUAAAGAGAUAAUGAAAUGAUGAGACUAUCACAGAUGAAGAGAAAUGCAGCAGAAGAUAUUCUUCCAGUUUGGCAUACACAACAGAAGCAAUAUCACCACAAAUGACUAUAUCCGUCUUGCGAUCAGGGCUUUUCACACUCAAAAUGUCCUGGUGCUUGGUGUGGGUUAACAAAAGGAGAUACAUUUUUUCCUCAAAAUAAAAAGAAAAAAAUGAGAUGUGUCCUAUCUUCAGCCUUUCUCAGGGUCCACAUAAACAGAAAACAGUUAAACGUUGUGGCUUUAGGGCUGAGAAACCAGAAAUGUGUAAAAUAGUUGGCACUUAAAAUGAAAAUACAAGAAUAAACUCUUAGUAUGAACUACA